rnacentral:lncRNA from 1 species
GGUCAGGGGAGCAAUGGUGGGCUCUCUCUAACCAUCUAAUACCCAGUACUGGGCCUCUAGUCCAUCACAGACACCUUAUCCUGGUCUCACACAUCUUGGACACACUGGACAUUACCGACACCGGCCCGGUCUGGCUCUGGUAGCCACAGACCGUAGCAGUGUAGAUGGCCGCAGCACCGAGGUCAAUGUCCCCUUACCGACGCCCAUACAGCCACAUGCCACACUCCAGCAUGCAGACAUCCAGUCCCAGGCUGCCGACUGAUUUAAUUGGGCUGCAUUUUAUGUGUAGGACGAGCCAACAGAACAUCUGACCAUGAAGCUUGCCAGGCUGUGGAUCCUACAGGUCUGCAAUCACAGAAAAAUCAUAUAAUUCUCCAUCCAUAUAAAGGUCAACAAAUGGGCUAGAGAGAUUGUUACAGAGGGGAUGGCGUAAACUGGAGAGAGACAACUAAGAGGACACUCGUCUAAAGGGGACAUACUGGGAUCUGCUAACGCACUAGAGGAAAGAAUGGAGGGAGGAAAUGGAAGAAGAAGCUCAAUAAACAGAUUUAGAAAUCUGGGUUCAUUAAUAUGUAUUCAUGAUGUACUGACAGCCUGAACGACAUGCAGGCUCUGUAUCACAGAGAAACUGAGUCUUCAUACUGGGUAUGUUGUAUCAAAGUUUAAUGACCAUAAAACACUUCCACGAGUCAGUAAAGUCAGUCAGUAAAGUCUAACACUGGAUUGAAGGCAACAAUGUCAAAAAGGUAUUCAUUUUAAUAACAUAUUCUCGUAUAUUUAACUUCUAUUGUCCUUCAAGAGUGGCCGCAUUUUUUUUAUAUUGCAUGUCCAGUUUUUCAUUGGUAGGACUGUGAGGUAGAGACACAUCGUACAUUAUUAUGAAGGAGUUAGUGAAAUGGAAGUCUUUUGUGAUUAGUCAGAAACAUGUCAGAUUAAUUAUCAUAACUGUUAAUAUGGUGUCAUAUAUGCCCCAAUUACUUAAUGACCUAAUAAACAGUAUCAUAAAUAACAGUAUGUUGUCGAUAUGUUCAUUUGAACCAGUAAUGAAGUCAAGUGAGUAAUGUUGUAUAUGUACUGUAUGUUCAAAUCAGGAAAACAGUCAUCUACAAGCCUUAAUUGAUCAGGUCAACUUCACAUCCAUAAAUCCCUGAAAACAAACAUUUUUCCAACAUGAAGCUUUUGACAAACAGAUUACACAUUUAACACAUCAUAACCAAGUUUAGGAGGGCUCAGGAUCAUGAUUCAGCGGGCAUUAUGAAAUCCAAAACAGAUCCCCUCAUCAAAUGGCUCUGUGAGCCCUGUGGUGGUCUGAUGGGGUUGACCCCUGGCCCUCUCCCUGUGGGGGGCAGCUGAGGAGGGGGCGCGGGAGAUCACACGAAGGCCCUGUUCUGGCUCCAUGUCCAAACAGCCUGGUCUGUUCAGGAGGAGGGUGGAGGGGUGGAAGUGUACCCCCUCAUCCUAAAGAGUGCACCAGGUGGCAAGGACGUGGGCAGGGGGCUUUUGAUGCUGACCCCUGGUCCCUGGGAUGGGAUGGCUCUAGUCAUUGAUCCAGCCAGAGGAGGGAGGGGAGCCAGGUGCCCCUGGUGGGGAUGGGGAUCAGCUGCUACGGUCUGGGUAUGGAGGAGAGGAGUCUGGGCCCACACUGGUCCCAGUCAUGCCAGUAGUCACAGCCCCAGUGUUGACUGGCUGUGAUGUUGUAGACAGGGUGCGGUCUAACACU